rnacentral:rRNA from 1 species
CAGCAGCCGCGGUAAUACCGGCGGCCCGAGUGGCGGCCACUAUUAUUGGGCUUAAAGCGUCCGUAGCCGGGUUGGUUAGUCUCCCGGGAAAUCUGGCCGCUUAACGGUCAGAAUUCCGGGAGAUACUGCCAGCCUAGGGACCGGGAGAGGCCGAGGGUAUUCCCGGAGUAGGGGUGAAAUCCUAUAAUCCCGGGAGGACCACCUGUGGCGAAGGCGCUCGGCUGGAACGGGUCCGACGGUGGGGGACGAAGGCCAGGGGAGCAAACCGGAUUAGAUACCCGGGUAGUCCUGGCUGUAAACGAUGCGGACUUUGUGUCGGACAAGCUAUGAGCUUGUCCGGUGCCGGAGGGAAACCGUUAAGUCCGCCGCCUGGGGAGUACGGCCGCAAGGCUGAAACUUAAAGGAAUUGGCGGG